AUGAAAGCUCCUCAGCAGAACUGUAAACCAACUGAUACAGAAGCAAAGGUCAAACUUGGUGGUAAUAAGAUGCAUUGCCUGAAGCCAGGCAAAUAUACCCACAAAUCACCAGGCAAUGUUGGGGCUAAAUGUAGAAAAGGAGAUGGUCAAUCGUUUACUGGCAGUAAGGUUGCAUUGGAGGGUGGUAGCUUUAUGGAAGUACCAUUUAUCAAUUUAACAAACUUGUCUGCUCAACCACCAAAUUAUUCUGGAAAGAUGAAGCUUCAGUUUUUCCCAAUAGAUGAGGCGACUCAAAAGGUUCUACAGCAGGAGAAGCACAAUCCUUACCUGGAGUUGACUUUGGCUCCGCGAAAGAAGGUGUCCUCUAUUGUGCAACAUCUGAACACAAAAUGGGGUCGUUCUAGUUGUGCAAAAGGCGAUCUCAUGCUCUUCCCAUACAGUGCUACACCAGAUAGCAUAGCCAGCAGUAAAAAAUGGACUCUUCAUGAUUCUUGCACUGCUGCUGAUGUUUAUGUUGCUGUUGGCAGCCCUUCAACAUUCCGUUUAAGGUAUGGUUGGUUCAAGCCUAAUUUGAAGCAACAAAUCAGCGAAUUAUCCUUGGCACCAGUGCACUCUGCAGAAAAGACUUUGGGCGACAAACCUUCAGAUCCUUUUGAGUUUCCAAGUAAAUUUACCAGUCCAUCCGUUGAGUGCAACACAGAACAGGCUGUGGCGGAUAACCAAAGCAAAGUGACACCGCUUUCAUGGAUUGACAGCAUAUCCAAUAUCAGUUUUGGAGCACUGCUAUCGCAAGCUGUGCCCUCUCAAGACAGCAAACAACUGCCUUUGCAAAAUAGCUCGAUUUUCCAGCAGCAGAUUCCUGCCACGUGCGAUUCAUUCGAUGCUGCUAUUGCUUCCUUGAUUGCUCGCCAGCAAACAAGUAGCCAGCCGAAGGUGUCAAAUCCAUCCCCUUGGGAAGCAGAUGAAACCUGUCAUGCAUUCCCUCCUCCCCGGAAUCAAAAUUUGGCCAGGAUGCCCUCUUCUGCUCCUGGCAACAGUAGUGCUAUUACCUCAACUAUCCUUGGUGCAAUUGCUGAAUCCGGUACAGAUGGCGACCACCAACACUGGCUACCAGCGCUCUACCGAAGGCAGGAGAGAGGAACCAAGGCCCCCUCAGAUACUACCAGGCUUGGGAAAUAA
rnacentral:rRNA from 1 species